GACGAACCGAGCGAACGUUGUUUCGGAAUCACUGGGCUUAAAGGGCGCGUAGGCGGGUGCUCAAGUCCGUGGUGAAAUCCUCCGGCUCAACCGGAGAACUGCCUCGGAUACUGGGGUGCCUCGAGGGUGGUAGGGGUAUGCGGAACUAUUGGGUGGAGCGGUGAAAUGCGUUUGAUAUCGAUAGGAACUCCGGUGGCGAAGCGGCAUACUGGACCACCCUCUGACGCUGAGGCGCGAAAAGCCAGGGGGAGCAAAACGGGG
rnacentral:rRNA from 1 species